rnacentral:rRNA from 1 species
GGGGAAAAUUAAUAAAUUAAAUUUAAUAAAAAAAAUUUUAAUAUUAAAAAGAAAAUGGGGGUUUGAGUAUUUUUAAUAGAAAAAAUUAAUAGUUUUAUAGUUAAAUAUUACUGUAAAGGAAUUUAUAAAUAAAUGAAAUAUAAUUAAUGAAAAAGUAAAUUUAAAUUAUUGUAUCUUGUGUAUCAGAGUUUAUUAAAUAAUAAUAAUUUAUUUAAAUAAAUCUCGAAUUUAAAAGAGUUAAUUAAUUAAAAAAGUUAAUGUUGUAUAAUUAUUUUAAAUAAUUAAUUAGAAAUGAAAUGUUAAUCGUUUUUAAAUAUAUCUAGUUUUUUCAGAAAAAAAUUUAAUUUUAAAUUUAAAUAAUUUUAUAAUUAUUUAAUUAAUUAUAAAAAUUUAAAUUUUAAUAUUUUAGGGGAUAAGCUUUAAAUUAAAAAUUUAUAAUUAAAAAUAUUUAAAAUUAAAAUUUUUAAAAUUUAUAUUGUUUAAAAAUUAUAGUUUAUUAUAAAAAAUUUUAUUAAAAAAUAAAAUUUAAAAUAAAAAAAAUUUAAAUUUUUAUGAAAAAAUAAUUUAUAAUUUAAUAAAAUUAGAAAUAAUGAUAAAAUUAGUAUAAUAUAAUAAAUUAAAAAAAAAUUAUAAAUAAUUAAAUUAAAGGAAUUCGGCAAAAAUUUAUAUUCACUUGUUUAUCAAAAACAUGUCUUUUUGAUAAUAAUUUAAAGUCUAAUCUGCCCACUGAUAUUAUAUUAAAGGGCUGCAGUAUAUUGACUGUACAAAGGUAGCAUAAUCAUUAGUCUUUUAAUUGGAGACUUGUAUGAAAGAUUUGAUGAAAUAUAAACUGUCUCUAAUUUAUGAUUAGAAAUUAAUUUUUUAGUUAAAAAGCUAAAAUAACAUUAAAAGACGAGAAGACCCUAUAGAGUUUUAUAUUUUAUUUAAUUAAUGUUAAAUAUAUAAUUAAAUAUAUUAAUUAAGUAAAAUAUUGUGUUGGGGUGAUAGAAAAAUUUAAUAAACUUUUUUUAAAUUUAGACAUAGAUAAGUGGUUAGUUGAUCCAUUAAUAAUGAUUAAAAGAAAAAAUUACCUUAGGGAUAACAGCGUAAUAUUUUUUUUUAGUACACAUAAAAAAAAAAGUUUGCGACCUCGAUGUUGGAUUAAGAUAAAAUUUAAAUGCAAAAGUUUAAAAUUUUGAUCUGUUCGAUCAUUAAAAUCUUACAUGAUCUGAGUUCAAACCGGUGUAAGCCAGGUUGGUUUCUAUCUUUAAUAAAAAAAAAUAUUUUAGUACGAAAGGAUCAAAUAUUUAAAAUAAUUUUAUAAUAAUGAAUAUUAAUAAUAUAGUUUA